rnacentral:lncRNA from 1 species
UGGGACAUGUCUGUGGAGUUUCUGAGGCCUUUGCUGGGACUGCAUUGCUUUGUUGGACUCUCCCUCUGACCAGUCUGCUUUCUUCUUCUCUCUUCCACAGGUAUUAAUCCCUAGAGAACUCUCUUACAAAUUUCCUAAACGCUAAUGUCAGAAUUUGCCUUCCAAAGGAUCCAGCCUAAGAUGUGUCCAGUUCAGGAAAGUGUCCUGAAACAUUACAUUCAGCUGAGUUGUGGGCACUGAGAGAGAGAAACGCAAACAGAGAGUACUUAUGAUUCCAGGGAUCAACUUAAGUGAAGACCCAGACGACUUAAAGACUCAACACCAAAACUUUGAAAACCUUGCCUGUCUCAUCUGGGGCCUGACACAGUCUUUGUUGAAUGAAUUAAUAAUGAUAGACCUGAUACAAUGACAGGAUGUGCCCUGUGAAGGAUCCUGGUGGCACGUGACCCAGCACAGCAUGCAGGAGAUCCAUGGAUGAAUCACAAGGAUAACUGAAGAAGAGAUUGCAGAACAGAUUCAGGGAAGAGAAUGUCAAAGGCCUUUUGUCUUGUCCUAGUGGAAAGGGGCAGGUAGUGAACCCCAGGCCCAUGUGGUUGUUUUCAUUGUGUACUAUUUUUUCCCUACAAUAAGUAUAUUUAUGCUUCACAGUUUGAAACAUGUGUAUGGGUCAUCAUAUAUUGUGGACUCUUUAUUUUUAAACAAGUCUUUUUGCUGACAUGCCUAUAAGUAUUGACCAGGAGGGGACGUGAGUGGGCAUAUCCCCUCUCCAUGGAAGUUGCCUGGUGCCCACCAUGGGCAGACUAGCUGAGCUACCACUUAGAGGGCGGGUCUGACCAAGAGUUAGGAAUCCACCAUCGUGGUUCGCUCUUUGAAUUUCCUCCUGUGUUUUCUACAGUUGUGAAAGCUGCAGUCAGCCCUAUCUGUGGGAACUUUAAGAAAGUGACCCAUCCGACCCUGCAGCAACUUUCUGCCUGGUUUUUCUAAACUGCUAAGAUUUUUGACAAGUGAUUUCAUGGUCCUUUUAUUCCUGUGUGUCAGAUGCACAGUAUUUACUUUGUACUAUGAUUUGGAUAUGCAGAGAAAACAUACUUUACUUUUUCUCCACCUAAUAUAACCUUCCUUUAAAGUCCUCACCCAGCUGGUUAGCAAAGAGAAAUUUUGUGUUCAAAUUAAGGCUUAAAUCAAUAUUAAAACCAAUAUUAAAGUAUAUUUAG